rnacentral:lncRNA from 1 species
GCACGGCAGGCUGUGAUACGGCCCAAUUGCCUCAGCCGCAACAUCAGUGAAAGGUCCAGGCAGCUCUAAUGCCCAGCCCGAGAUCGAGUGCCCACAAGACCAAUUACAACCCCAUUCCAACUAGUAACGUGACCUCCCAGUCCUAAAAAAAUCACACCCUAUAAAUUUCAUCUUACUCAAAUAUAAGGCGUUGGGCCUGAAUGCCAACACUGUCCCAGUUCUCAAUAUUAGAUUUACUGAAUCAAAAUGCUACUCAUUCAGUAUUAUCAAUCUAACAAACUAACUUUAAACAACUUGAGUUUUGAUGAACGAAUUACUGCAUGCCACUGUAGCUAGUUUAUACUAAUGAGUUCCCAAAUUGAUUGCCAACUACUGAAAACAGGAAUUCACUACUGAAAUCAUUCACUAAACAAUACUACUAUCUAUAGAGAGUUCUCAUGAUCUAAGGAAAACAUAGCAUCAAUUCAAAAAGCCACGAAUGAAAACAAUAAGCAAGUGUCCAUUUAUACACUAAUGAACUUCCAAUCCUAAUUAAUCAACCACACGGGAAUUAAAACAAACAAAACGAUAGUGUUAGCAAAUCUGCAGAAAUGCAGUCACAGCGAAUCAAACAGUCCUAGCUUCAAUGCUUCAUUAAUCGAUUUCAAAUGAGUUUUUACAUAUCAAUUUAGCUCCAGCACGUGGACUCUGGGAACAUACUUGAAAAUUGGAACAGAAGUAAGGAAAGUAGGAGACCAAAUUGCAAACAGCAGUAUUCAACGAGUUUCAACAGCAAUUCAAACCAGGCUCGAGUUGAGAAUUGUUUUAAAAUUCAACAAUGUCAAUAGCACAACCAAACAGUACCGAAUACUCAAAACUAAGCCAGGAAAUCAGUGCAUCUAAUCAUGUAACCCAUGACUGAUUUAACUUGUCUUCACACUUCAAUUGUUCGAACAGAAAUGAGGAACUCAAGCAGUUCCUGAUUUUAACUAAGCUAAAAUGUUGAUUUAAAGCUGAACAUUUGAAAAUGUUGAUUCAAGCAGUUCCUGAUUUUUUUUUGGGUUUUGGAAUUUUCUAUUGUUUUUGGGGUUUUGGAGUUUGAAUUUCAGAUCUUAGAUCUGAAAAUUAGAGAGCAUACUGUGGGGGAAUUUUUGAUCUCCAAAAACUUCCUUGUCAAGGCAUUAAUGAUGCCAUUUUAUAUGAAAAAGGAGAUGCAAGUCAGGUUUUCUGCUUUACAAAAUAGUCCCUCCCCAUUUUAAGUUUUAACCCUCUAUUUAUUAACUUGUUAUUGAAGUACGUACCUCUAUUUGUGCUGAAAUGUACACUAAAAUCGUAUUCUAGAAGGCCCUAGGGUGUUCUUCUACCCAUACAAUACCUAUACUACCCUUGCCUUUCUUUUAGAUUACCAUUCUUAAUAAACUACUUUUUCCAUGCCUAAACUACCCGUAUCUUCUCCUUGAAAUUACUACCCAACCCAAAACCAUCUUGCCUUAAUCAAAAAAUAACUUUGAUUAAUCAAGAAAUAAGUUUAUUCAGCUAUAUCCAAACAAGUUCAAAUUCAAAUCCUAAAUCCAAACUAACUACUAAACUUCAAGUCCACAAUUACUAUCGACAUUUAAAACAACUCAUCAAACGACCAUUAUAUACUCAGUAUGAGAACAGGUUGAACCAUUUUGAACAAUUUAAAGAACAACUACUGAACCAUUCUUAGCAACUAAAUCAAAGCGAAACAAUUAAUUAACUAAAACGAGAAUUGAACCUAUCGACUUCAAAUGUUUGAAACCGAUAUCAAUCCAACACCAAAAAUCUAAUCCAAAUUAAACACUAAACACGAAUGACUAACUUAUGGGCAAAAAAUAUAGAAAAAAAAAACAAAUCAAAAGGAAAGGAAACCCUACUGUUUUUUACUUGACAUAACCUGGCAAUGUAUUCACACGGAAAUUACGAAACCAUUCGAUGGCUUGGAUGAUAAGCAAUUGGCUUGAAUCCUAGCAUUGAACCACCUUGAAGGUUUCUGCCUCCCAUUGAAGAUUCGAGAAACCUGGUGUGUGUUUGAGGACCAAUAUUUGUAGACUUGGACUAAGGAGGUUGAGGGGAACUCAGGGUGUAAUUUUGGGCCAAUUUGGGCGGUGUCGCCGUCGUGGACGACGGAGACGGCGACAAGAAAUCUUAUUAUUCCAGGGCUUCUGGUCGGAUUUGAAAGGCGAUAAUGGUAGAUUAGUGGCAGAGACAACGAGGCAUUAUAGGGGUUUAUUUUUGGAAUCCAACGGAGAAGGUGACGUUCACUGACGGCGGCUCCGCCAGUGGUGUUACAGGGUUUUAUACGAGGAGGAGAGAUAUGUCGUGUCGGGUUAUUGAGUUAUAGGA